rnacentral:rRNA from 1 species
ACGCACGCUGGCGGCGUGCUUAACACCUGCAAGUCGAACGGAAAGGCUCCAGCUUGCUGGAGUACUCGAGUGGCGAACGGGUGAGUAACACGUGGGUAAUCUGCCCUGCACUCUGGGAUAAGCCUGGGAAACUGGGUCUAAUACUGGAUAUGACCUUUCUCCUUAUGGGGUUUGGUGGAAAGUUUUUCGGUGUAGGAUGAGCCCGCGGCCUAUCAGCUUGUUGGUGGGGUGAUGGCCUACCAAGGCGAAGACGGGUAGCCGGCCUGAGAGGGUGAUCGGCCACAUUGGGACUGAGAUACGGCCCAGACUCCUACGGGAGGCAGCAGUGGGGAAUAUUGCACAAUGGGAGGAAGCCUGAUGCAGCGACGCCGCGUGAGGGAUGACGGCCUUCGGGUUGUAAACCUCUUUCAGCAGGGACGAAGCGUAAGUGACGGUACCUGCAGAAGAAGCACCGGCUAACUACGUG